rnacentral:rRNA from 1 species
UACGGAGGGUGCAAGCGUUAUCCGGAUUUACUGGGUUUAAAGGGUGCGUAGGUGGGCAGUUAAGUCAGUGGUGAAAUCUCCGAGCUUAACUCGGAAACUGCCAUUGAUACUAUCUGUCUUGAAUAUCCUGGAGGUAAGCGGAAUAUGUCAUGUAGCGGUGAAAUGCUUAGAUAUGACAUAGAACACCGAUUGCGAAGGCAGCUUGCUACGGGAUUAUUGACACUGAGGCACGAAAGCGUGGGGAUCAAACAGGAUUAGAUACCCUGGUAGUCCACGCCCUAAACGAUGGAUACUCGACAUCAGCGAUACACAGUUGGUGUCUGAGCGAAAGCAUUAAGUAUCCCACCUGGGAAGUACGACCGCAAGGUUGAA